UAAACGGAUGCCUGCUGGUUUACGCGCUUAGCUGUUAACUAAGAGUUUGUAGGAUCGAGGCCUACUCGUUUAG
rnacentral:tRNA from 1 species